rnacentral:rRNA from 1 species
AUUGAACGCUGGCGGCAUGCCUUACACAUGCAAGUCGAACGGUAACAGGUCUUCGGAUGCUGACGAGUGGCGAACGGGUGAGUAAUACAUCGGAACGUGCCUAGUAGUGGGGGAUAACUACUCGAAAGAGUGGCUAAUACCGCAUGAGAUCUACGGAUGAAAGCAGGGGAUCGCAAGGCCUUGUGCUACUAGAGCGGCCGAUGGCAGAUUAGGUAGUUGGUGGGAUAAAAGCUUACCAAGCCGACGAUCUGUAGCUGGUCUGAGAGGACGAUCAGCCACACUGGGACUGAGACACGGCCCAGACUCCUACGGGAGGCAGCAGUGGGGGAUUUUGGACAAUGGGCGCAAGCCUGAUCCAGCAAUGCCGCGUGCAGGAUGAAGGCCUUCGGGUUGUAAACUGCUUUUGUACGGAACGAAAAGACUCUGGUUAAUACCUGGGGUCCAUGACGGUACCGUAAGAAUAAGCACCGGCUAACUACGUGCCAGCAGCCGCGGUAAGAC